ACUCAAAUGAAUAGACGGGGGCCCGCACAAGCGGUGGAGCAUGUGGAUUAAUUCGAGGCAACGCGAAGAACCUUACCAAGGCUUGACAUCCCGCUGACGGGUGUAGAGAUACACCGUUUCUUUUUGAACAGCGGAGACAGGUGGUGCAUGGUUGUCGUCAGCUCGUGUCGUGAGAUGUUGGGUUAAGUCCCGCAACGAGCGCAACCCCUAUCUUUAGUAGCCAGAGCGUAAAGGCGGGCACACUAGAGAGACUGCCGUGGAUAACACGGAGGAAGGCGGGGAUGAGGUCAAAUCAUCAUGCCCCUUAUGUCUUGGGCUUCACACGUGCUACAAUGGCUGCUACAAAGUGACGCGAACCUGCGAGGGGGAGCCAACCACAUAAAAGCAGUCUCAGUUCGGAUUGCAGGCUGCAACCCGCCUGCAUGAAGUUGGAAUCGCUAGUAAUCGCAAAUCAGCACGUUGCGGUGAAUACGUUCCCGGGCCUUGCACACACCGCCCGU
rnacentral:rRNA from 1 species